rnacentral:rRNA from 1 species
AAGCUCGUAGUUGAAUUUCGGGCCUGGCUGGGUGGUCUUGCCGCAAGGUAAGCACUGCUCUGGUCGGGUCUUUCCUUCUGGGGAACCAGUGUGCUCUUAAUUGAGUGCGUUGGGGAUCCAGGACUUUUACUUUGAAAAAAUUAGAGUGUUUAAAGCAGGCCUACGCUUGAAUACAUUAGCAUGGAAUAAUAGAAUAGGACUUUGGUUCUAUUUUGUUGGUUUCUAGGACCGAAGUAAUGAUUAAUAGGGAUAGUUGGG